rnacentral:rRNA from 1 species
GACGAACGCUGGCGGCGUGCUUAACACAUGCAAGUCGAACGGAAAGGCCCUGCUUUUGUGGGGUGCUCGAGUGGCGAACGGGUGAGUAACACGUGAGUAACCUGCCCUUGACUUUGGGAUAACUUCAGGAAACUGGGGCUAAUACCGGAUAGGAGCUCCUGCUGCAUGGUGGGGGUUGGAAAGUUUAGGCGGUUGGGGAUGGACUCGCGGCUUAUCAGCUUGUUGGUGGGGUAGUGGCUUACCAAGGCUUUGACGGGUAGCCGGCCUGAGAGGGUGACCGGCCACAUUGGGACUGAGGUACGGCCCAGACUCCUACGGGAGGCAGCAGUGGGGAAUAUUGCACAAUGGGCGGAAGCCUGAUGCAGCAACGCCGCGUGCGGGAUGACGGCCUUCGGGUUGUAAACCGCUUUCGCCUGUGACGAAGCGUGAGUGACGGUAAUGGGUAAAGAAGCACCGGCUAACUACGUGCCAGCAGCCGCGGUGAUACGUAGGGUGCGAGCGUUGUCCGGAUUUAUUGGGCGUAAAGGGCUCGUAGGUGGUUGAUCGCGUCGGAAGUGUAAUCUUGGGGCUUAACCCUGAGCGUGCUUUCGAUACGGGUUGACUUGAGGAAGGUAGGGGAGAAUGGAAUUCCUGGUGGAGCGGUGGAAUGCGCAGAUAUCAGGAGGAACACCAGUGGCGAAGGCGGUUCUCUGGGCCUUUCCUGACGCUGAGGAGCGAAAGCGUGGGGAGCGAACAGGCUUAGAUACCCUGGUAGUCCACGCUGUAAACGGUGGGUACUAGGUGUGGGGUCCAUUCCACGGGUUCCGUGCCGUAGCUAACGCUUUAAGUACCCCGCCUGGGGAGUACGGCCGCAAGGCUAAAACUCAAAGGAAUUGACGGGGCCCCGCACAAGCGGCGGAGCAUGCGGAUUAAUUCGAUGCAACGCGUAGAACCUUACCUGGGUUUGACAUGGAUCGGGAGUGCUCAGAGAUGGGUGUGCCUCUUUUGGGGUCGGUUCACAGGUGGUGCAUGGCUGUCGUCAGCUCGUGUCGUGAGAUGUUGGGUUAAGUCCCGCAACGAGCGCAACCCUUGUUCACUGUUGCCAGCACGUUAUGGUGGGGACUCAGUGGAGACCGCCGGGGUCAACUCGGAGGAAGGUGGGGAUGACGUCAAGUCAUCAUGCCCCUUAUGUCCAGGGCUUCACGCAUGCUACAAUGGCUGGUACAGAGAGUGGCGAGCCUGUGAGGGUGAGCGAAUCUCGGAAAGCCGGUCUCAGUUCGGAUUGGGGUCUGCAACUCGACCUCAUGAAGUCGGAGUCGCUAGUAAUCGCAGAUCAGCAACGCUGCGGUGAAUACGUUCCCGGGGCU